rnacentral:rRNA from 1 species
GCGGGAAUUCGAUUAGAGUUUGAUCCUGGCUCAGAUUGAACGCUGGCGGCAGGCUUAACACAUGCAAGUCGAGCGGUAGCACAAGAGAGCUUGCUCUCUGGGUGACGAGCGGCGGACGGGUGAGUAAUGUCUGGGAAACUGCCUGAUGGAGGGGGAUAACUACUGGAAACGGUAGCUAAUACCGCAUAACGUCGCAAGACCAAAGAGGGGGACCUUCGGGCCUCUUGCCAUCAGAUGUGCCCAGAUGGGAUUAGCUAGUAGGUGGGGUAAUGGCUCACCUAGGCGACGAUCCCUAGCUGGUCUGAGAGGAUGACCAGCCACACUGGAACUGAGACACGGUCCAGACUCCUACGGGAGGCAGCAGUGGGGAAUAUUGCACAAUGGGCGCAAGCCUGAUGCAGCCAUGCCGCGUGUGUGAAGAAGGCCUUCGGGUUGUAAAGCACUUUCAGCGGGGAGGAAGGUGGUGAGCUUAAUACGCUCAUCAAUUGACGUUACUCGCAGAAGAAGCACCGGCUAACUCCGUGCCAGCAGCCGCGGUAAUACGGAGGGUGCAAGCGUUAAUCGGAAUUACUGGGCGUAAAGCGCACGCAGGCGGUUUGUUAAGUCAGAUGUGAAAUCCCCGGGCUCAACCUGGGAACUGCAUUUGAAACUGGCAAGCUAGAGUCUCGUAGAGGGGGGUAGAAUUCCAGGUGUAGCGGUGAAAUGCGUAGAGAUCUGGAGGAAUACCGGUGGCGAAGGCGGCCCCCUGGACGAAGACUGACGCUCANGUGCGAAAGCGUGGGGAGCAAACAGGAUUAAAUACCCUGGUAAUCCCCGCUGUAA